rnacentral:ncRNA from 1 species
AUGUUGGCUCUUUCUAUCAUUGUGAAGCAGAAUUCACAAGUAUUGCAUUGUUCACCCGCCAAUAGGGAACUUGAGCUGGGUUUAGACCAUUGUGAGAUAGGUU